rnacentral:rRNA from 2 species
AGAGUUUGAUCAUGGCUCAGAUUGAACGCUGGCGGCAGGCCUAACACAUGCAAGUCGAGCGGUAGCACAGAGAGCUUGCUCUCGGGUGACGAGCGGCGGACGGGUGAGUAAUGUCUGGGAAACUGCCUGAUGGAGGGGGAUAACUACUGGAAACGGUAGCUAAUACCGCAUAAUGUCGCAAGACCAAAGUGGGGGACCUUCGGGCCUCAUGCCAUCAGAUGUGCCCAGAUGGGAUUAGCUUGUAGGUGGGGUAACGGCUCACCUAGGCGACGAUCCCUAGCUGGUCUGAGAGGAUGACCAGCCACACUGGAACUGAGACACGGUCCAGACUCCUACGGGAGGCAGCAGUGGGGAAUAUUGCACAAUGGGCGCAAGCCUGAUGCAGCCAUGCCGCGUGUGUGAAGAAGGCCUUCGGGUUGUAAAGCACUUUCAGCGGGGAGGAAGGCGUUGAGGUUAAUAACCUCAUCGAUUGACGUUACCCGCAGAAGAAGCACCGGCUAACUCCGUGCCAGCAGCCGCGGUAAUACGGAGGGUGCAAGCGUUAAUCGGAAUUACUGGGCGUAAAGCGCACGCAGGCGGUCUGUCAAGUCGGAUGUGAAAUCCCCGGGCUCAACCUGGGAACUGCAUUCGAAACUGGCAGGCUAGAGUCUUGUAGAGGGGGGUAGAAUUCCAGGUGUAGCGGUGAAAUGCGUAGAGAUCUGGAGGAAUACCGGUGGCGAAGGCGGCCCCCUGGACAAAGACUGACGCUCAGGUGCGAAAGCGUGGGGAGCAAACAGGAUUAGAUACCCUGGUAGUCCACGCCGUAAACGAUGUCGAUUUGGAGGUUGUGCCCUUGAGGCGUGGCUUCCGGAGCUAACGCGUUAAAUCGACCGCCUGGGGAGUACGGCCGCAAGGUUAAAACUCAAAUGAAUUGACGGGGGCCCGCACAAGCGGUGGAGCAUGUGGUUUAAUUCGAUGCAACGCGAAGAACCUUACCUGGUCUUGACAUCCACAGAACUUAGCAGAGAUGCUUUGGUGCCUUCGGGAACUGUGAGACAGGUGCUGCAUGGCUGUCGUCAGCUCGUGUUGUGAAAUGUUGGGUUAAGUCCCGCAACGAGCGCAACCCUUAUCCUUUGUUGCCAGCGGUCCGGCCGGGAACUCAAAGGAGACUGCCAGUGAUAAACUGGAGGAAGGUGGGGAUGACGUCAAGUCAUCAUGGCCCUUACGACCAGGGCUACACACGUGCUACAAUGGCAUAUACAAAGAGAAGCGACCUCGCGAGAGCAAGCGGACCUCAUAAAGUAUGUCGUAGUCCGGAUUGGAGUCUGCAACUCGACUCCAUGAAGUCGGAAUCGCUAGUAAUCGUAGAUCAGAAUGCUACGGUGAAUACGUUCCCGGGCCUUGUACACACCGCCCGUCACACCAUGGGAGUGGGUUGCAAAAGAAGUAGGUAGCUUAACCUUCGGGAGGGCGCUUACCACUUUGUGAUUCAUGACUGGGGUGAAGUCGUAACAAGGUAACCGUAGGGGAACCUGCGGUUGGAUCACCU